rnacentral:rRNA from 1 species
UACUAGAGUAGCACUCGCAUAUCAAUAAGCGGAGGAAAAGAAACUAACAAGGAUUCCCCUAGUAACGGCGAGUGAAGCGGGAAGAGCUCAGAUUUGAAAUCUUAAAGGGUUUCCCUUUACGAAUUGUAGUUUAAAGAAGUGUUUUCUGUUGAGGUUUUGGUAAAAGUUCUUUGGAAUAGGACAUCAUAGAGGGUGAGAAUCCCGUAUUUGACCUUUACUUUCAACUUUGCUGAUACACUUUCAAAGAGUCGGAUUGUUUGGGAAUGCAGUCCAAAAUGGGUGGUAAAUUCCAUCUAAAGCUAAAUAUUGGCGAGAGACCGAUAGCGAACAAGUACCGUGAGGGAAAGAUGAAAAGAACUUUGAAAAGAGAGUUAAACAGUACGUGAAAUUGUCAAAAGGGAAGCGUUUGACACCAGUGUUGUUUUUCUGAAAAUCAAUUAAAGAACUGUUUAUGCUAAGUUGUUUAGACUUUAUCAGCUAACUGUUUAGUUUUGAGCUUUUCUUUAAUGCACUUUUCAGUUAACAAGUCAACAUCAAUUUCUUUUGCUGUAAAAAAGCUUGAGGAAGGUGGCUUGAGAUUCGUCUUAAGUGUUUAUAGCCUCUUGCCUAUGCAGUCGGAGAGAUUGAGGUCUGCAGCGUAGAUCCUUCGGGGCUAAAUGCAUUUGUGCUAAGUUAUAGCAUUCUAUAGACAACUUGUUGACUAUGAUUUGUCUUGUAGCUUACUCGCUUAUGUUAUUUUACCUACGCUUAGGAUGUUGAUAUCGCGCUCUCACUG